GGUGGCAUAGUGGUUAAGCGUUGGGCUGCUAACCCAAAGGUUGGCAGUUUGAAUCCACCAAGCACCC
rnacentral:tRNA from 1 species